rnacentral:rRNA from 1 species
GACGAACGCUGGCGGCGUGCUUAACACAUGCAAGUCGAACGGAAAGGCCCUGCUUUUGUGGGGUGCUCGAGUGGCGAACGGGCGAGUAACACGUGAGUAACCUGCCCUUGACUUUGGGAUAACUUCAGGAAACUGGGGCUAAUACCGGAUAGGAGCUCCUGCUGCAUGGUGGGGGUUGGAAAGUUUCGGCGGUUGGGGAUGGACUCGCGGCUUAUCAGCUUGUUGGUGGGGUAGUGGCUUACCAAGGCCUUGACGGGUAGCCGGCCUGAGAGGGUGACCGGCCACAUUGGGACUGAGAUACGGCCCAGACUCCUACGGGAGGCAGCAGUGGGGAAUAUUGCACAAUGGGCGGAAGCCUGAUGCAGCAACGCCGCGUGCGGGAUGACGGCCUUCGGGUUGUAAACCGCUUUCGCCUGUGACGAAGCGUGAGUGACGGUAAUGGGUAAAGAAGCACCGGCUAACUACGUG